rnacentral:rRNA from 1 species
CUGAACCAGCCAAGUAGCGUGAAGGAUGAAGGUCCUACGGAUUGUAAACUUCUGUUUAUGACGGGAAUAAAGUAUCCUACGUGUAGGAUUUUGUAUGUACCGUAUGAAUAAGCAUCGGCUAACUCCGUGCCAGCAGCCGCGGUAAUACGGAGGAUGCGAGCGUUAUCCGGAUUUAUUGGGUUUAAAGGGAGCGCAGACGGGUUGUUAAGUCAGUUGUGAAAGUUUGCGG